rnacentral:lncRNA from 1 species
AAAAUCCAACAUCUGAAUUCACAAAAUUUUAACUUUCAAGCUCUCGGCUUGAAAUUCAAUUAUGACACUUUUUGACCCGUUCGUGAUUUAUCAAACAAACUUGUUUAUUACCCUUUUCAAAAUAUCAUGCAUAUCACGUUAUAUCAGUUUACUAAUGUGCAAGGUUCAAAUUACGGGUUUCUUAUGAAUUCUUAACCCGUUUUACCUAUCUACUCCUUUUGACCCGUGAAGGGAAGUUAAACACUUUUAACUAUAAAUCUAUAUAUAAGCGUACCUGGCUCGGGUCAACGUAUAGACCCGUUUAUGCCUUGCUAUUAUUAAUUCAAUAUUCUAUGAUGACUUUGCGUCCGUUCGAGCUUUCCUUGCGCACUUGACCCGUUU